AACAUAGACGGUCAGCAAACAAGCAAAGGACCUGGAUAGGUAACGAAACGAGAAACAAAGCCAUGUCAGUUCCCGUGCAUUUGUCAAACAGGACACGAGCAAGGAAGAACUCACCUUCUCGAUCAGCAAGGUGAAGGACGAACAACAAAGAGACUGACCCUGCACAAACAACGGAAGGAGGAGAUUACCAAUUCAACUAACAUCGACCACUCUUGCUCUCCAAUUGGACUAUCUGGCACUUGUGUUGAGACACCGAAGUUCAACAUGCCGAGAAAAGUCUCGUGGCACUCCAU
rnacentral:lncRNA from 1 species